UGACGGUACUCAGACCGGUUUCGUCUACCCACCUCACUCUUUUUACAAGAGGUGGUCAGGCAGACUCGUCAGUGAGUGAAGUCAGUGAGGGAAACACUGGAGAAGGUUAUCACCCUUCAAAUCCAGGCACAUUAACUCAC
rnacentral:ribozyme from 1 species